UCUCUUAUUUCUUCGUUUUCUCCCCGUCUGUCUACCCUUUCUCCCUCCCAAUCUCCCUUAUUUUUCCCCAGCUUCCUUUCCUUAUCAUCUUUUUUUCGUAAAGCUUUAUUAUCCUCUAACCCAGAACAGAACUGAAGCGAUUUAUAGAAUUUACAAUAAAUUUCAUCUUGAUAGACACAUAAACCUAGAUCCAAUCGAAUCUGUUAAUCCCCAAUUCUUUUGAGCUUUCUCAUAAUUGAAUUCCAAAAAAAGAUGACCUAAUUAUUCAUCUUUAACUUAGGGCUUGUACGUUGAACUAAUAAUAUAUCGAGUGGAUCGAAUAAAUGGAUAUAUAUGUGAAGACCGAAGAAGAAAAAAAGAAAAAGAUGAAGUUGAUCCAAAUAUCUCUUCCGAUUGAAUUGAUUCUAGAGUUUCUAUCAAGACUACCAGUUAAAUCUCUGACGAGGUUAAGCUGCGCAAGUAAGUACCUGUACAAUUACAUCAAUCAAAAUCCACAAUUUACUAAAUCUCACUUUAUUAAUUAUUCCCAAAAGAAUCCCACCCUUGUGUUUUACACCAAUUAUGUUACUGGAAAACAACAAUGUCUGUUUCAAAGCUUGUUUCGUACCAGAGAUAUUCAGGAUGACGAAAGAGAUAACCACGAUGUCCAAUUGUAUCAAAAAACUAUACAGCAAAAGAAAGGGGAAUUUGUUGGAUAUUGCAAUGGUUUAAGUUGUUUUAGAAACACUAUUACGGAAUUUGCUUUCUUCAUUGAUGUUUGGAACGAUACUACACAAGAAGUUUUGCGGAUGUACAGCAAAGGAGGAGGUAUAGGAGGAGGAGGAAUUUAUAAGUUCAUGUCUUGUGGAUUUGGGUUCGAUUCUGUUAACAAUGAGUAUAAAUUGGUAAUUAUUGUUUUCAUGUUUGAAACUAAGUCCCCUAAGUGUUUCGUUUUUACUUUUGGAAUCAAAUCUUCAUGGACAGAAGUUAGGUCUCCUAAUUCCGGAUUACUACGAACAUGUGCUUCAGCCGUAUUCACUUCUUAUGGAGCCGCAGGAGCAGGCGCAGGAGGAGGAGGAGCUUUGUUUUGGUGGACCACUGAUCCGCAGGUAAUUCUCUUGUUUGACCUCCAUGAAGACAAGUUGCAAUACAUCCGAAUCCCACUUGAAUACAACACACGUACUCGGUGGUUUGAGUAUGAAGGAUUCUUAGUUAUUGCCCGUCUUGAAAAGAAAUCACCAACGUCGCUUACUUUGGGAAAGGUUCACUUGAAAGUAUUGAAGGCUUUCAAAGAUGACCAGGUUUGGGCUGAGGAGACCAUUGAUCUUUCGGCGUAUUCAAUUCCUUUCAGUAACAAUUUUCGGUUCGUCAGCUUCUCCGACCAGGGUGGAUGCCAAAAAUUUUCAUUUCUUCAAUCUGCAAAGGAGAUGUCUCAAGGUGGUUAGGAACCUAGAUUCAUGCAUCUCUGAGAAGGUAUUACCCACAGUUGUUAGACCCAAUGACUACUGGCUGAAUUGUGAGGUUGAAAACAUCUGCGCUUUGAAAACCUUGUUGCCUGUACGAGCUCAAAUAUCUGAUCGUGCUGCUUUAAAUUCGAUGAUGAUGAAAAGCUUGGAGAAUAUGUGGAAUCUGCAACAACCAAAGACAGUUGGAGGAUUUUUCACUUCAUAUUACAAAUCAAAAACCAACAGUCACUACUUCUUCGAUGAUUAGGAGGUUUUACCCAAAAAGAUCGUUGCAGCUGCCAAGGAUGUCCAAGAAAAGAAGGAAAUCUAUACUCCGUACAACAUUCUUCCAUUAGAUGCUGCUGGGGCAUUGCAGUCCAUCAUGCCGCUUGAGGAGCAAAGAGAAUAGGGAGGAGACUUGGACAUACUAGAUUGUCUUAGGGAACUGUUCGGCUUUCAGAAAGACAUUGUCAGGAAUCAAAAGGGAACAUUUGAUUCUAAUGCUUGCGAAUAAUCAUAUAUGACUCCUACCCAAGCCUGAGCCCCUUAACAAGCAGUGGUGUAAGUAGUGAUUGCAAUCUGAGUGCUCGAAAUGGGCAAGGUGUGAUUGCAGAAGCCUUAUUUUAACAACGGUAGCCAAGAAAAAUCCAAUUUAUUUGAAAAGAAGGAUUGGGUAGUGAGCCUGUAUUCUGUAUGUCAGACAAGGAAAUGGUGCAAAGUCAACCUCAAAACCGAACUGGCAUAGGCAGCCAAACUCGAAGUGUGCCACUCGUGCCUAAUCCCGUCCUUACUCAUUCACAAUCAGAAAGAGGACGUUUAAAUGUAAGUUACAACAACAGCGAAGUUAUAUUUGUGGUCAGGAAGAAGAAAGUAACAGAAUAUGUGGUGACUGUAAAAAGUCUAAAGCACAAAAUGUAACUUCUUUUUACUUUUUACAAUUUCAGAAUGUUUUCUUUCAGAACUUCAAAAAAGAAUAAAAAUAAAAUCCUUUUGUUUUUUG